rfam:Aedes aegypti strain Liverpool supercont1.204 genomic scaffold, whole genome shotgun sequence.
CCACCGGCUCUUUUCAGGGCCAUCAAAUGUGUUAAAAAAGUUAAA